rnacentral:rRNA from 1 species
UACGAAGGGGGGCUAGCGUUGUUCGGAAUUACUGGGCGUAAAGGGCGCGUAGGCGGUGUGUCAAGUCAGGCGUGAAAGCCCCGGGCUCAACCUGGGAACCGCGCUUGAGACUGGCACGCUCGAGUUCGGGAGAGGAUGGUGGAAUUCCCAGUGUAGAGGUGAAAUUCGUAGAUAUUUGGGGAAGAACACCGAUGGCGAAGGGCAGCCAUCUGGACCGACACUGACGCUGAGGCGCGAAAGCGUGGGGAGCAAACAGG